rnacentral:misc_RNA from 1 species
GUGAAUCAUCUAAUUUUUGAACGCAAAUUGCACUCUCCUGUUUUCCGGAAGAUGAUGCUGGUUGGAGGGUAAGCUUAAAUAAAUUCGUCUUGGUAGUUGGUUGGGUUUUUCACGUUAACGUUGGUCGUAAUUCGGUUCAUCUUAAACCGAAAGGUUUUUAAGCUACUUAAAAUUUGCUUUACGAUCCCACAAACGUUUUUAAGAUUUUCUUGUAUGUUCAAGGUAUCUAUUUGAUACUGCACCGUCG